GAGUCGUGCGCGGGAGACGCCGGGCAGGGGGAGACCCCGGGCCCGGGGCCGAAGGAGCAACCGCCCCGGAAACUCUCAGGCAAAAGGACCGCGACCGUAGG
rnacentral:ncRNA from 2 species